GCUGGGCACGGUAGCACAUGCCUGUAAUCCCAGUGCUCAGGAGGCUGAGGCAGGAGGAUCAUGAGUUUAAAGCCAGCCUCAGCAAAAGCAAGGCCUUAACCAACUCAGAUCCUGUCUCUA
rnacentral:sRNA from 1 species